UCAUACGAUUAACCCAAGUUAAUAAAUUUCGGCGUAAAGCGUGUUUAGAAGUAAACAAAAAUAAAAUCAAAUAUUGACCAAACUGUAAAAAGUACUAGUCAUAAACAAAACCAGCAACGAAAGCGAUUUUAGAAUCUUUUGAGCACACGAUAGCUAAGACCCAAACUGGGAUUAGAUACCCCACUAUGCUUAGCCUUAAACCUUAAUAAAUUCAUAACAAAAUUAUUCGCCAGAGAACUACAAGCCAGAGCUUAAAACUCAAAGGACUUGGCGGUGCUUUAUACCCACCUAGAGGAGCCUGUUCUAUAAUCGAUAAACCCCGCUAAACCUUACCACUCUUUGCCAACUCAGCUUAUAUACCGCCAUCUUCAGCAAACCCU
rnacentral:rRNA from 1 species